AGUGAACGCUGGCGGUAGGCCUAACACAUGCAAGUCGAACGGCAGCACAGAGGAGCUUGCUCCUUGGGUGGCGAGUGGCGGACGGGUGAGGAAUACAUCGGAAUCUACUCUGUCGUGGGGGAUAACGUAGGGAAACUUAUGCUAAUACCGCAUACGACCGACGGGGGAAAGCAGGGGAUCUCCGGACCUUGCGCGAUUGAAUGAGCCGAUGUCGGAUUAGCUAGUUGGCGGGGUAAAGGCCCACCAAGGGGACGAUCCGUAGCUGGUCUGAGAGGAUGAUCAGCCACACUGGAACUGAGACACGGUCCAGACUCCUACGGGAGGCAGCAGUGGGGAAUAUUGGACAAUGGGCGCAAGCCUGAUCCAGCCAUACCGCGUGGGUGAAGAAGGCCUUCGGGUUGUAAAGCCCUUUUGUUGGGAAAGAAAUCCAUCUGGUUAAUACCCGGGUGGGAUGACGGUACCCAAUGAAUAAGCACCGGCUAACUUCGUGCCAGCAGCCGCAGUAA
rnacentral:rRNA from 1 species